ACGACAUAACAGAGAUGAAUACUCUAGAAAGUGUGACAAAU
rnacentral:guide_RNA from 1 species